rnacentral:lncRNA from 1 species
UGAAUUGACUAUGUUUCUGGGAAUUGCUGCUAAUCUGUGGGAUAAUUGAAUCAGUUCCUUGUUUCCAGUGCUGAAUGACCUGGAGCAAAGGGACCCAGGGCAGCAUCCGAGGGGAACAAGAGUAGCUCCCUGGGGGAACCUUGAGGAGUUGCACACUUUCCAUCCCCAGUCACUGCUCCCCUUCGGGGGAGGGUCUUACUUGCUCGAAAUAGAAGGCAAGCAGUUCUUGGCCUGUGAAACCUGAGUGGCAGUGCCUGGCUGUCAGUAUGCUGGCCCCAAUGUUGAUGGACAUGAUUAGCUUUGGCUCCAGGUUCAAGGACAAAGAAAAAAGAAAUUAAAGCAAUCAGGUUCCUGUCCUGAGACCACAGCAGAAAGUGCCUUGGAUGAAGGCUUGGACUCUGGAUCGUCUGGUGACUUCAACUGUCUGGUCUCAGGGUGGAGAACUUUCUUUGUAUGCCUAACCUGUGAGUCGAUGGUAAGAUUACAGUUAACACAUGCAUAGCUAUAGAAUGUGGUUUUUAUUCCUAAGUGUAUGCUAUUAUUUCAUUUUAAAAUGAUUUUGUUUCACACAGAAGACAGAAUACAGAAUUAGGAAUGGAGGAAGGGUGGGGGGAAGGGACUACAAAGAAAACCGUGUAGACAAUUACUUGUCUGUUGCGGGUAAAUCAGUAGGACUUCUUGUACACGAAAAAAUCAGUAAUAAUUUUGCUCACUUUUCCUUUGUUGUUUAAAUGUAAAAUGUUCUUUUUAUGAAAAAAAAAGGGUAAACGCACUCACACAUACACACAUGCUUGUUCCAAAAGUUACAUUGCUUUAUUAAAGAUUCUGAAGUAAAAGCUUG